rnacentral:rRNA from 1 species
GAAGGACGGGGUAAGCACCGAAAUGCCACGGGGAGUCGCAAGCAGACAUCGAUCCGUGGAUGUCCGAAUGGGGAAACCCACUGCCUUUAAUAGGGUAGUAUCCUUGCCUGAACAAAAUAGGGUAAGGAAGGUAAGCGAGGGAACUGAAACAUCUAAGUACCUCGAGGAAAAGAAAUCAACACGAGAUUCCCUAAGUAGCGGCGAGCGAACGGGGAGUAGCCUAAACCCAUACAAUGUCAAGCCCGCAAGCGUUGUUGUAUGGGGGUUGUACGGCUUAAUGAGAGUGAUUGCGGAAGCUCGCAGGAGAGAGAAAAUCUAGCAGAAGGUUCUGGAAAGUACCUCCACAGAGAGUGAAAGACUCGUAUGCGAAAGGUUUUGUCAUCCUGUAUUAAGUUCGUGAGUAGCACGGGACACGAGAAACCCUGUGUGAAUCUGGGAAGACCACUUUCCAAGGCUAAAUACUACCUGGCGACCGAUAGAGAAUAGUACCGUGAGGGAAAGGUGAAAAGCACCCCGGGAGGGGAGUGAAAUAGAACCUGAAACCGUGCGCUUACAAACAGUCGGAGGACGUUCAUGUCUGACGGCGUACUUUUUGUAGAACGGACCGGCGAGUUAUGAUAGGCAGCAAGGUUAAGCAUGUAAGAUGCGAAGCCGCAGGGAAACCGAGUCUGAAAAGGGCGAAUGAGUUGUCUGUUGUAGACCCGAAACCGAGUGAUCUACCCAUGGCCAGGGUGAAGUUGAGGUAAAACUCAAUGGAGGCCCGAACCCACUAACGUUGAAAAGUUAGGGGAUGAGCUGUGGGUAGGGGUGAAAAGCCAAUCGAACUCGGAGAUAGCUGGUUCUCCUCGAAAUAGCUUUAGGGCUAGCCUCAGAGUAAGACUAUUGGAGGUAGAGCACUGAUCGAGCUAGGGGCCCAACAAGGUUACCGAACUCUUUCAAACUCCGAAUGCCAAUAGUUAGUCUCUGGGAGUCAGACUGCGGGGGAUAAGCUCCGUAGUCGAAAGGGAAACAGCCCAGACCGACAGCUAAGGUCCCCAAGUGCGAACUAAGUGGAAAAGGAUGUGGAACUGCACAGACAACCAGGAUGUUGGCUUAGAAGCAGCCACUCAUUUAAAGAGUGCGUAAUAGCUCACUGGUCAAGUGGUUCUGCGCCGAAAAUGUAACGGGGCUCAAGUUCGCCACCGAAGCUUCGGAAGGAAACUUCUAUCCUUCUACCUUUAAAAAUUCCGUGGAAUGUGGGAAGCACAUUUCGUCAAAACAAACAAUGAACAUUUCUUGGAUUGUUUUGACUAAAUGCUUUUCCCGAUUAAGAAGCCACCGAAUCUUUAAGGGUAGGAUGAGAAGUUUUCUUGGUAGAGGAGCGUUCCAACAGCGUUGAAGGUAGACCGUAAGGACUGCUGGAGUGGUUGGAAGUGAGAAUGCCGGUAUUAGUAGCGAUAAGGAAGGUGAGAAUCCUUCCCGCCGAAAACCUAAGGAUUCCUGAGGAAGGUUCGUCCGCUCAGGGUAAGUCGGGACCUAAGGCGAGGCCGAAAGGCGUAGUCGAUGGACAACAGGUUGAAAUUCCUGUACCACCGAAGAUCGUUUGAGUGAAGUGGUGACACAGAAGGGUAGGUCAUCAUCCUGAUGGAUGGGUGUCCAAGCGAGUAGGGAGCAAGGUAGGCAAAUCCGCCUUGCAUGAAUCCCAAGACGUGAUGGGGAAGCGAAAUAAGUAGCCGAACUGAUUGAUCCCAUGCUGUCAAGAAAAGCCACUAGCGAGAUUGUAGGUGCCCGUACCGCAAACCGACACAGGUAGGUAAGGAGAGAAUCCUAAGGCGCGCGAGAGAACCCCUGUUAAGGAACUCGGCAAAAUGACUCCGUAACUUCGGGAUAAGGAGUGCCUUUGUAGUGUGACAUUGAACAAAUGAAGCAUGAAGAGGCCGCAGAGAAAUGGCCCAAGCGACUGUUUAUCAAAAACACAGGUCUCUGCUAAGUGGAAACACGAAGUAUAGGGGCUGACGCCUGCCCAAUGCCGGAAGGUUAAGAGGAGAGGUUAUUCAUCUUCGGAUGGAGAAGCUUCGAAUUGAAGCCCCGGUCAAUGGCGGCCGUAACUAUAACGGUCCUAAGGUAGCGAAAUUCCUUGUCGGGUAAGUUC